rnacentral:RNase_P_RNA from 1 species
UUAGGGGGGCGGAUCAUCGCUCCGGCGCUUGCGUCGGAGAGGAAAGUCCGGGCUCCCGGGCCAGGUUGCCCUGCGAAAGCGGGGGCGCGUCGUUGGCGCAAGCGCGACGCGACGGAAAGUGCCACAGAAAACAGACAGCCUCGCUCCUUCGGGGGCGGGGUGAUGGUGAAAAGGCGGGGUAAGAGCCCACCGGCCGACGGGCGACCGUCGGCGCACGGAAAACCCCAACCGGAGCGAGACCAAAUAGGGGGCGAUUCGAGCGCGGCCCGGCUCGUCACUAGCCCCGGGUAAGGUCGCGGUUCCGCGCGAGCGGGACUCUCGGACGGCGGCGAAAACCGCGGUGCGAGAAGAGAAAUGAUGAUCGCGGCUCGGGCGACCGAGCCGAACAGAACCCGGCUUACAGCCUCCCCAUUUUA